GGCACUGUAGCUCAGUUGGUUAGAGCAUUGUAGGCCCUAUCAGAAGGUCACUGGGUCAAAUCCAGCUAGUGUUG